rnacentral:rRNA from 1 species
GACGUAGGGCGCGAGCGUUGUCCGGAUUUAUUGGGCGUAAAGAGCUCGUAGGCGGCUUGUCGCGUCGUCCGUGAAAACCUGCAGCUCAACUGCAGGCUUGCGGUCGAUACGGGCAGGCUAGAGUUCGGUAGGGGAGACUGGAAUUCCUGGUGUAGCGGUGAAAUGCGCAGAUAUCAGGAGGAACACCGGUGGCGAAGGCGGGUCUCUGGGCCGAUACUGACGCUGAGGAGCGGAAAGCGUGGGGAGCGAACAGG